GAUGAACGCUGGCGGCGUGCCUAAUACAUGCAAGUCGAGCGAACAGAUGAGGAGCUUGCUCCUCUGACGUUAGCGGCGGACGGGUGAGUAACACGUGGAUAACCUACCUAUAAGACUGGGAUAACUUCGGGAAACCGGAGCUAAUACCGGAUAAUAUAUUGAACCGCAUGGUUCAAUAGUGAAAGACGGUUUUGCUGUCACUUAUAGAUGGAUCCGCGCCGCAUUAGCUAGUUGGUAAGGUAACGGCUUACCAAGGCAACGAUGCGUAGCCGACCUGAGGGGCUGAUAGCCCACACUGGAACUGAGACACGGUCCAGACUCCUACGGGAGGCAGCAGUAGGGAAUCUUCCGCAAAGGGCGAAAGCAUGACGGAGCAACGCCGCGUGAGUGAUGAAGGUCUUCGGAUCGUAAAACUGUGUUAUUAGGGAAGAACAACUGUGUAAGUAACUAUGCACGUCUUGACGGUACCUAAUCAGAAAGCCCCGGCUAACUACGUG
rnacentral:rRNA from 1 species